rnacentral:lncRNA from 1 species
UUCGCCGCGGCCGCUGCCUCCUGGCGCCGCCGCCAGCCCCGCCCCGCACCUGCCGCUGGGACACGCCCCCGGGCACCAGGCCACGCCCACACCAAGCCACGCCCACCAAUCAAACCACGCCCAUACCCAACAGGCCACGCCCCUACCAUUAAGCCGCGCCCCCAACCAUCAGACCACGCCCCUAGCAUUAAGCCACGCCCACCCCACAGGCUCCACCCCAUCCACCAAGCCACGCCCCUUCCAUCAGGCCACGCCCAUUCCGCUAGGCCNNNNNNNNNNUGCCGGUGCCGCGGGUGCUGCUGGCUGUGGCCGUGGCCGUGGCGCUGGGCGCAGGCUCCCGCUCGCCCCUCAACGACUUCCAGCGCCUGCGGGCCACCGAGCUGCUGCCCCUGCCCCCCGAGGCACCGCCACCGCCAGAGCCAGGCCCGGCCGAGCAGUGCGCCCAGCGCUGUGCCACCAGCCCGGCCUGCCGGGCCUUCCACCACGAGCGGCAGAGCCAGCUGUGCCAGCUGCUGCGCUGGACGCAGCACUCGCCCGGCGUGCGGCUGCAGAAGAACAUCCACUGCGACCUGUACCAGAAGAAAGGUGGGCACCGGGGCCGCACGCCGGGCACCCGCCCGCUGCCCGCCCGGCCCUGACG